UACGUAGGGUGCGAGCGUUGUCCGGAAUCACUGGGCGUAAAGGGCGCGUAGGCGGCAGGCCAAGCGUGCGGUGAAAGUCCGGGGCUCAACCCCGGAUCUGCCGUGCGGACUGGUUUGCUAGAGCACUGUAGAGGCGAGUGGAAUUCCGGGUGUAGCGGUGGAAUGCGUAGAGAUCCGGAAGAACACCGGAGGCGAAGGCGGCUGGCUGGGCCUGAUCUGACGCUGAGGUGCGAAAGCGUGGGGAGCGAACAGG
rnacentral:rRNA from 1 species